UGUACCCAUACCCCCAUGAAGUAGAUUCUUCAUUGAGAUGGUGAGAAGAGGGUUUUGAAAAUACUCCAAAAUUUGAUCUGAUCUAAGCCCUACCAUUCAUUAGAUUUUCUUAAUAAUUUAUCCCUCAGUAUCUCUAAAAUUAUCUAGAUCGCUAAUCACUAAUUAAGAUGCCUAAUUAACUCUAAAUCGAGAUAAAAUUUGGAUA
rnacentral:lncRNA from 1 species